ACACAGUCCUCAGGAACACAUAUAAGUGCUUACUCAGUACAUAGAACCAUAUAUAUAUAAAUUUGAAAAUAUUAAACCUGAAAUCGAGCUACUGCUAUCGUGAAAAUCCAUACCGAUGAUAACAAGAAUUCACAAAAUAAGGACUCGAGUGAAAUUUCGAUUGUAUUAAAUUUCGUUAACGCAGACUAAAUUGCGUAGUAAAGGCUCUCCAAGUCUUUCCGUCACGGUGCAGCAGGCGAACAUAGGAUUUUACAAGAGCCUCACAGAAUUUCAAUGUAUCCCGCAGAUUUUGUAUCAUCGUCCACGCGCUGUAUGUUGGCAAAUACAAAUGGCACGUGCUCUUUUCAAGGAUAGUCCUGUAGCUACAAUGAAAAAUUCAUAUUCAAUAUCACCAGCGAACAGAACACGUAGCGCCUCACUGGGAUCCUUGUACCCAUGGACAAUUAUGACGAAACAAUAGCAAGAGAGUUCACGAAACAAUGACUAGUAUCUAGUGUGUGCUUUAGAAGUUCUCCGGGGCAAGAGGAAGUUGAUGGUACAAUAGACAAUACCAGAACGCCCAUAAGUGAGUGGGUGGAAACUUUGUUGACAGCAAGGUGCUUUCCUACUGAAGGGAUAGCUAAUUAGAUUGUCAACUAAUAGGGAAUGGAGAUGCAAAUAACCGAGUAACGCACCAUCAUAUAGCCUCAUAAGAUGACUCCAAGAACAACCUAUAGGCUCCAUUAACAGUGCGGGAUGCUGCACGAUUACAGAAUUUUCAUUGAAGAAAAAUUAAUUAACAGGAACCCCCGACACGUUCUCUUCUACUAUUCCGACCUUCGUCUUUAAAGCUUCAUGCAAAUUCAGAGCAAAUCGAUGACAGAGAUCUGCAAAUUCAUGAAAAACAAAUCUUAGAUCUCUCGAUAACAAGGGUCCUCCGCUAAAUCAUUAAUGGAAUCUAUAUAUUAUAUGUAUCUUGUGAUAACAAGAAAACGUCACACUACUCACGUACGUAUAAUCAUAAGCAGCAACGAAUCCUUCAAUUUUCAUUGCUUGUUUAU